GACGAACGCUGGCGGCGUGCUUAACACAUGCAAGUCGAACGGAAAGGCCCUGCUUUUGUGGGGUGCUCGAGUGGCGAACGGGUGAGUAACACGUGAGUAACCUGCCCUUGACUUUGGGAUAACUUCAGGAAACUGGGGCUAAUACCGGAUAGGAGCUCCUGCUGCAUGGUGGGGGUUGGAAAGUUUCGGCUGUUGGGGAUGGACUCGCGGCUUAUCAGCUUGUUGGUGGGGUAGUGGCUUUCCAAGGCUUUGACGGGUAGCCGGCCUGAGAGGGUGACCGGCCACAUUGGGACUGAGAUACGGCCCAGACUCCUACGGGAGGCAGCAGUGGGGAAUAUUGCACAAUGGGCGGAAGCCUGAUGCAGCAACGCCGCGUGCGGGAUGACGGCCUUCGGGUUGUAAACCGCUUUCGCCUGUGACGAAGCGUGAGUGACGGUAAUGGGUAAAGAAGCACCGGCUAACUACGUG
rnacentral:rRNA from 1 species